rnacentral:rRNA from 1 species
GACGAACGCUGGCGGCGUGCUUAACACAUGCAAGUCGAACGGAAAGGCCCUGCUUUUGUGGGGUGCUCGAGUGGCGAACGGGUGAGUAACACGUGAGUAACCUGCCCUUGACUUUGGGAUAACUUCAGGAAACUGGGGCUAAUACCGGAUAGGAGCUCCUGCUGCAUGGUGGGGGUUGGAAAGUUUCGGCUGUUGGGGAUGGACUCGCGGCUUAUCAGCUUGUUUGUGGGGUAGUGGCUUACCAAGGCUUUGCCGGGUAGCCGGCCUGAGUGGGUGACAGGCGAGAAUGGGACGGAGAUACGGCCCAGACGCCGACGGGAGGCAGCAGUGGGGAAUAUUGCACAAUGGGCGGAAGCCUGAUGCAGCAACGCCGCGUGCGGGAUGACGGCCUUCGGGUUGUAAACCGAUUUCGCCUGUGACGAAGCGUGAGUGACGGUAAUGGGUAAAGAAGCACCGGCUAACUACGUG